rnacentral:rRNA from 1 species
AGAAGCAGCCAUCCUUUAAAGAAAGCGUAAUAGCUCACUGGUCUAGUGAUUUUGCGCGGAAAAUAUAACGGGGCUAAAGUAAGUACCGAAGCUGUAGACUUGCGCACAACUUAGAUUAUUUAAGUUUAGAAUAUGAGAAACUAAGUUAUAUGUUUAGUUAUAUUUUUACUGAUUUUUAUAGAGUAAAGAUAGAAAUAAAACUUAGUAAAAUCAGUAAAAAUAUUCUUAGACUAAAGUUAAGUAGUUUAAGUUGUGUGCAAGUGGUAGGAGAGCGUUCUAUUUGCGUCGAAGGUAUACCGGUAAGGAGUGCUGGAGCGAAUAGAAGUGAGCAUGCAGGCAUGAGUAGCGAUAAUUAAUGUGAGAAUCAUUAACGCCGUAAACCCAAGGUUUCCUACGCGAUGCUCGUCAUCGUAGGGUUAGUCGGGUCCUAAGUCGAGUCCGAAAGGGGUAGACGAUGGCAAAUUGGUUAAUAUUCCAAUACCAACAUUAGUGUGCGAUGGAAGGACGCUUAGGGCUAAGGGGGCUAGCGGAUGGAAGUGCUAGUCUAAGGUCGUAGGAGGUUAUACAGGCAAAUCCGUAUAACAAUACUCCGAGAACUGAAAGGCUUUUUGAAGUCUUCGGAUGGAUAGAAGAACCCCUGAUGCCGUCGAGCCAAGAAAAGUUUCUAAGUUUAGCUAAUGUUGCCCGUACCGUAAACCGACACAGGUGGGUGGGAUGAGUAUUCUAAGGCGCGUGGAAGAACUCUCUUUAAGGAACUCUGCAAAAUAGCACCGUAUCUUCGGUAUAAGGUGUGGUUAGCUUUGUAUUAGGAUUUACUCCGAAAGCAAGGAAACUUACAACAAAGAGUCCCUCCCGACUGUUUACCAAAAACACAGCACUCUGCUAACUCGUAAGAGGAUGUAUAGGGUGUGACGCCUGCCCGGUGCUCGAAGGUUAAUUGAUGGGGUUAGCAUUAGCGAAGCUCUUGAUCGAAGCCCGAGUAAACGGCGGCCGUAACUAUAACGGUCCUAAGGUAGCGAAAUUCCUUGUCGGUUAAAUACCGACCUGCAUGAAUGGCGUAACGAGAUGGGAGCUGUCUCAAAGAGGGAUCCAGUGAAAUUGUAGUGGAGGUGAAAAUUCCUCCUACCCGCGGCAAGACGGAAAGACCCCGUGGACCUUUACUACAGCUUGACACUGCUACUUGGAUAAGAAUGUGCAGGAUAGGUGGGAGGCUUUGAGUAUAUGACGCCAGUUGUAUAUGAGCCAUUGUUGAGAUACCACUCUUUCUUAUUUGGGUAGCUAACCAGCUUGAGUUAUCCUCAAGUGGGACAAUGUCUGGUGGGUAGUUUGACUGGGGCGGUCGCCUCCCAAAUAAUAACGGAGGCUUACAAAGGUUGGCUCAGAACGGUUGGAAAUCGUUCGUAGAGUAUAAAGGUAUAAGCCAGCUUAACUGCAAGACAUACAAGUCAAGCAGAGACGAAAGUCGGUCUUAGUGAUCCGGUGGUUCUGUGUGGAAGGGCCAUCGCUCAAAGGAUAAAAGGUACCCCGGGGAUAACAGGCUGAUCUCCCCCAAGAGCUCACAUCGACGGGGAGGUUUGGCACCUCGAUGUCGGCUCAUCGCAUCCUGGGGCUGGAGCAGGUCCCAAGGGUAUGGCUGUUCGCCAUUUAAAGCGGUACGCGAGCUGGGUUCAGAACGUCGUGAGACAGUUCGGUCCCUAUCUGCCGUGGGCGUAAGAAGAUUGAAGAGAUUUGACCCUAGUACGAGAGGACCGGGUUGAACAAACCACUGGUGUAGCUGUUGUUCUGCCAAGAGCAUCGCAGCGUAGCUAAGUUUGGAAAGGAUAAACGCUGAAAGCAUCUAAGCGUGAAGCCAACUCUAAGAUGAAUCUUCUCUAAGCUCUCUAGAAGACUACUAGUUUGAUAGGCUGGGUGUGUAAUGGAUGAAAGUCCUUUAGCUGACCAGUACUAAUAGAGCGUUUGGCUUAUCUUUAAUAAAGCAU